rnacentral:snRNA from 1 species
GUGCUUGCUUCGGCAGCACAUAUACUAAAAUUGGAACGAUACAGAGAAGAUUAGCAUGGCCCCUGUGCAAAGCUGACACGCAAAUUCAUGAAGUGAUCCAUAUUUUU